GGUGAAUGAAAGCAGCCAACGCAUAUGCAACUUGAAGUAUGACGGGAAUACACGUAUUGCUGUGUGUAGUCUUUGCCUGUCACCUAAGACGGGCUUUUUUUUUU
rnacentral:other from 1 species